UACGUAGGGUGCAAGCGUUGUCCGGAAUUAUUGGGCGUAAAGGGCUCGUAGGCGGUUUGUCGCGUCGGGAGUGAAAACUCAGGGCUUAACCCUGAGCCUGCUUCCGAUACGGGCAGACUAGAGGUAUGCAGGGGAGAACGGAAUUCCUGGUGUAGCGGUGAAAUGCGCAGAUAUCAGGAGGAACACCGGUGGCGAAGGCGGUUCUCUGGGCAUGUCCUGACGCUGAGGAGCGAAAGUGUGGGGAGCGAACGGG
rnacentral:rRNA from 1 species